AUGAACGCUGGCGGCGUGCUUAACACAUGCAAGUCGAACGGGAAACCUUUUAUUGAAGCUUCGGCAGAUUUAGCUGGUUUCUAGUGGCGGACGGGUGAGUAACGCGUGGGUAACCUGCCCUAUACAUGGGGAUAACAACCAGAAAUGGUUGCUAAUACCGCAUAAUCGCACAGGGCCGCAUUUUCCGGUGUUAUAAACUCCGGUGGUAUAGGAUGGACCCGCGUUGGAUUAGCCAGUUGGCAGGGUAACGGCCUACCAAAGCGACGAUACAUAGCCGGGCUGAGAGGGUGAAGGGCGACAUUGGGACUGAGACACGGCGCAGAAUCGUACGGGAGGCAGCAGUGGGGAAUAUUGCAAAAUGGGGGAAACCCUGAUGAAGCGACGACGCGUGAAGGAAGAAGUAUCUCGGUAAGUAAACUUCUAUCAGCAGGGAAGAUAGUGACGGUACCUGACAAAGAAGCCCCGGCUAACUACGUG
rnacentral:rRNA from 1 species